GCUGAGUUUUGAGCCUCUCCUCACAACUUUCAGUUACAUCCCUUGGUGUUGCACAAUAUUUAAUUGAUCAAUAAUUGACCAACUCAACUUGUUUAUUUAUUAAGUAAUGUUUUAUUUGAUUUAAUUGGUUAGUCAACAUUUGCCACAAUGUACAGAUGCAAACUGUGCAAUGUACCUUUCCACCAACUUAGUGUCUUUUAUGCACAUAUAAAAAGACACCAACAUAGAGCAAAUUUUCGAUGUGCCCUUGUACAUUUAAGAAAUUCUCCUCGUUUAGGUCUCAUAUGCACACAAAUCACAGGCAGUCACAAAAACAAGAUAACGUUAUACAUAGGCAUCCACAGGCGAACCUCCACUGUCAGGUCCUAGGGUGGGCAUUUGUGGCUUGUAAUUUUUCAGAGCUGUGCUUCCACUUGCGAAUUCAUAUUAGAGAUUGUAGAAAAGUUUGCUGUCCAGUUGAAGGCUGUUUGAAAUAUUUUAGAGUGAGAACAUCAUUCACCACUCAUAUAUCGCGGAAGCAUAAGCAGCCAGGUCCAGUGCAGCAGUCUUGUCUCCACAAACUGGGUGAGACAGCAACACCAACAGAUCUGUCUCCUGAUGGUCAACUACCUCCUAUAGAUCCGUGGAUUAAUAGUGAGGUACCUUCUACAUCAUCUUCAAAGUCAUAUAAAUAUGAUGAAGAGGCUUUUUUACAUAACUUGGCUCUGUUUUACCUAAAGAUGCAAGGCAAAAUGUUGUUACCUGCCAGUACAAUUCAAUCAAUUAUCAAGGAAUUUCAAGUAGUUCAUGUUGAUGGAAUGCAGGCCAUGCUUGUUAGACUAAAAGAAAAGCUGUUAUCAUCAUCAGAUAUACUAUCAUGUGACAUAGGCAAACUUAUUGAUGAACUGGUUACACAAGAUCUUUUAACUUUGUACAAUGAGGGUCAGUUAAAGUCUGACAAAACCAGAAAACACUUCUUCAAACAAAAGUUUAACUUUGUUGAGCCAAAACAGAUAUACCUGGGCACUGACACAGCUGGUAAAGAACGCUUUUGUCAGUAUGUGCCAGUUAAAGAAACCCUUGCAUCUCUGUUUAGGCAAACAUCAGUGAGGGAACAGUACAACCAGUCAAAAAUGCUUGAUUCUGCUGACAAAGUGAUGGAGGACAUAAAGGAUGGCACAUGCAGCAAGCAAAAUGCAAUCUUUCAUGAGCAUCCAUCAUCAUUAUCAAUUAUGUUGUACCAGGAUGCAUUUGAAGUUGUAAAUCCACUUGGCUCGGGUAAAAAGAAACAUAAAAUCCUGGCAGUGUAUAUGACCCUAGGUGAGAUUCUGCCACAGUACCGCUCAUUAGUUGACCCAAUGCAGCUUGUUUUACUGUGUAGAGAUGAGGACUUUAAACAGUUUGGUCAGCAGAAGGUAUUUUCCAGCCUUGUUGCUGAUCUAAAAUAUUUAGAGGAUUCUGGAUUUCAGUCUGUAGAUGGCACUAUUCUUAAAGCAGGGCUAAUUGUCAUUUGUGGGGAUAAUCUUGGGUCUCAUUGUAUAGGUGGCUUUUCUGAAAAUUUCAGUACCAACAAGUAUUUCUGUCGGUACUGUCUAAUUGACAGAGACACUUUUCGCCAACAACCUUUAAAUCUUGGCCUAAAAAGAACAAACAGAAAUUAUGCGCAUAGUGUUGAUCAGCUCACAACUACUGAUCAAUGUAUGGUAGAUGGCAUCAAAUUCAAUUCAGUUUUCAAUUCCCUUAAUUAUUUUCAUGUGUGUGGUGGACUACCUCCAUGCUUAGGACAUGAUUUAUUUGAAG
ensembl:lncRNA